CCUCGUCCGCCGCGUUCGCGUGGGUUCUAUAUUUCCUUGAACCGAUGCUCUCGCGAGCAAGGGCCUGGAAAAUUGCUGGAUGGGCGCGAUCGUCUCGCGUCAGACGAACCCGAAGUCCUGCUGACCGGACCCACCUGAAUCCCCUGGGUUCAGGAAUGCGGCCCACGGCUCGCGGUGGACACCCC
rnacentral:other from 1 species